ensembl:lncRNA
UACUGAGGUCUGUCUUGAUGUUGAGGAAGAAGCCUAUUCUAUGAUAGAUGAUUGGAGAGGCCUGAGACCAUCAGUUACACAAAGCUCUCAAAUAGAUCCUACACGAGAGGAGGCAAAAUGCAGUUCACUAGAAACUACAGUGGAAAAACCAAAACGACAAGUUGAAACUGCCAUCUAUGCCCAAGUGAUCAAAACCAAGAAGAAAGAAAAUGAUCCUGUGUGCAGUUUUCUGAUGGAAAAAUAGAGAACGCCAUACUACAGUACUGUCUACUUUGUUAUUCCAGGAAAUACAAUAGCAUACAGUGUGGCUUGAAAAUAUGUGCAAUUAUAGCUUUUCUAGUGUUCACCAUGAAAUCUUUGUUUGAUCAGAACCUUUUUAUCUGACAAAGCAGCUUUAUGUUAGCCUAUUGCAUGUAGUAGAGAAACAAUAUAGAAAAGGAAUUAGUGCAGGUCCAAAAAUAAGUAAACCUCAGUUUGAAUUGUUUAAAUCCAGUAGGUCAGUAGAAUCAUCUGUAUAAACAAUUGGGUACCAAAUGAACCCAUCAAAGGAGAGAUCUUUAGGAAAGAGGUUGGGUGGGACUCUAAUAGAGACAGGAAAUCUGGUCAGUUUGGUGUUACCCAUUUAGGUGAAUCCAAAACACGCCAUGCAGAGAUAAAGGAGAAUCUCAGAGGACAUCAGGAAGAGCGUAAUUAGAACAGAGCACUCAGGGGAAGGCUACACAAACAUUUCAAAAAUAUUUACGCUCCAUCAGUCCACUGUGAGGCAAUCAUUUACUGAUAGAGCCCAUUUAACAUGACCGCAACUCGGCCUAGAAGUGGACGUCCUUCAAAAUAUCCCCAAGAGCCACCUGGUUGACUGCACAUCAUCAAGGGAACAAUUAAUUCUGAGGUUUACCAGGAGAUUCUUGAACAAAACCUAGAGACAUCAGUCAGGGAGCAAACAAUGGGACAAAAAUGGAUCUUCCAACAAGACAAUGACCCAAAGAUUUGUGUUUUGGAUUGGCUAAGUCAAAAUCCUGACCUUAAUCAAACUGAGAUGCUUCAGCUAGAUCUGAAGCAAGUAGGAAAUGCCAGACACCCUACAAACCUCACCCAUUUGGUGGAGUUCUAUAAGGAGGAGUGUUCAAAAAUCCUUAGAAAAAAGCCUAACCAAUGUUUGAUUAGGUAAACCAAUGUUUGAUUAUAACAGUGAAUCUUAAAUCUUGUUUUUUUUUGGGGUGGGCAUUGUCUGACAUUGCCCAGACAAUGUCAGGUGUGACUCAGUAGUGUUUAUAGCCUCCACAUGCCUGUAUGCACAGCCAAAAUCGUCUGGGCAUGCUCCUGAUUGAGAAAGCCGUGGGGGGUGUCCUGGGGAAUCUCCUCCCGGACCUGGAUCAGGGCAUCAGUGAGCUCCUGGACAGUCUGUGGCGCUACUUGGCGGCAUCAGAUGCACUGAUACAUAACUUCCCAGAGGUUCUCAACUGGAUUCAGGUCUGGGGAAUGUGAGGGUGAGUCAAUGGUAUCAAUGCCUUCGUUAUCCAGGAACUGCCUACACACUCUGGCCACAAGAGGCCGGGAAUUGUCCUGCACCCUCCUAGGGUAUGCCUCCCCAGACCAAUUGUCCUGCACCCUCCUAGGAUAUGCCUCCCCAGACCAAUUGUCCUGCACCCUCCUGGGAUAUGCCUCCCCAGACCAAUUGUCCUGCACCCUCCUAGGGUAUGCCUCCACAGACCAACACAAAUCCUCCACCAAACUGGUCAUGCUGGAUGAUGUUGCAGGCAGCAUAACGUUCACCACGGUAUCUCCAGACUCUUUCACGUUUGUCACAUGUGCUGAGUGUGAACCUGCUCUCAUCUGUGAAGAGAACAAGGCGCCAAUGGUGAACCUGUCAAUUCUGGUGUUCUCUGAUGAAUGCCAGUCGAGCUUCAUGGUGCUGGGCUUUGACCAUAGGUCCCACUAGAGGACAUUGGGCCAUUGGGCCCUGUCCAACUCUCCUUGUGUAAUGGCCCACCACCAGGAAUCUCCUCCAUGCUCCUGAUACUGUACUGGGAGACACAGCAAACCUUCUUGCAACGGCAUAUAUGGAUUUGGCAUCCUGAAGGAGCUGGACUGCCUGUGCAACCUGAAUGGGCUGCAGGUACCACAUGCUACCAGUAGUGACAAAGACACUAGCAAAACGCAAAACUAGAGAAGAAUCAUUCAGGAAGUAUAAGGAGGCCACCACCUGCAAAACCAUUCCUAUUUUGGGGGUUGUCUUGUUGUUUCGUCUCCAGUGCACCUGUUGUUACUUUCAUUUGCAUCCAAACUGGUGACAUCGAUUCACAGUCUUUUAUGCUUCCUAGCUGGACAGAUUGAUAUCCCUGAAGUUUAAUUGAGUUGGUGUUAUACUGUGAUGAUCACAUGUCCCCUUAAUUUGUUUGAGCAGUGUAGAUAUAACAUUGACUCCUUAAUAACAAGCCAGCAUAAUGUAUUAUCAACAUGUGUUUUCCUGAUUACUUUAGUCACAUGUCUAACUAACUCACAUUAAAUCAAAUAAAUUAUUGAAUCAGACACAAUUGGGGUACUUAUUCUUUUGUUAUUGUGUAAAACUGAAA